CCCCCAGCCAGCUUCACAUACUCAUUAUUAACCUGUCUCUCUCUGCAAUUAGGGCUCCACAUUUAAAACUCCUCUGACAGAGGCAUAACAAACCAACAUUAAGCUCGUUUAUUGUUAUUGCUCACUCAAAAUUUCUGCUUUCCAGCUAAAACACCAGCCUGGAUUCUCAGCCUCAGAAGAGCUAGACCCAAGGUCAGGAUCCCUAAUCUCAAAACCUCCUUUAACUUUACAAUCAACAAAUCCAGCAUUUGUGAAUGUUACAGAUUAUUUUCCAAGCUGUGGAGGGAGAUUUCUUUCAUAAUUGGAGAACAAGGAGAAGAAAACCUCGCACGGGAUUUGCCACCAACCUAAAUUUCCUAUUCCUCCCCCUCCGAGCAGGACACACACCUCCGUCCUCUCCCACUGUCCCACACCUUGUACUGCAGCAAACCAGUGCCUGCUGUACGUAACGGGCUAUUUAUAGGAAAGCCCCCUGUGGGUGGGGUCUGUUGUGACUUAGUGGGGUCUAUUGUAACUUAGUGGGGUCUGUCAUGACAGAGUGGGCCUAACACAUACACACACAUACACAGUUACAUGGAGGGUGGCCACCAAGAUGUGCUAGGGCUUUCUACCAGGCACCAUUCAGCCACAGCCCAUUGGUCCAGACAGGAGCGAUGCUUCUGGUUUCAGCAGGAAACAGGGGGGAGAAGACACCACACAAAUGCACAGGGCUCAACCUCCCCUCCAUGCAACCUGGCACAAGUUCUUGCGGAGAUGGGCUGUCCUGCACCAGCUGAAAACCCAAACCAUGUUGCAGGUGGCGUGAGCUUUCUCUUCUCUCAAGACAACACCAUUGCUCGAUGAUCACAAGUUGAUUGGAAAUGGAAACAAAUCCACCUGGAAAAAAAAAAUCAAACUUUUUUCCACCUCACGUGCUUUGAAACUCUCCCCUUUUCUAUGAUUUUCAUCAUUAAUUGAAGUUAUUGUUAUUUUAGGAAACCUUUUGAAACGUGCCUUUUGGUGAGAACAUGUAGGGUCUGGCCAAUAAAAGAAUUACUACCAGGAUUUCA
rnacentral:lncRNA from 1 species